UGUGGACCUAAUGUUAUGUGGGGUGCACACAGCGUGCUGUCCGCAUCCGCAUUUCCGGAGGGUGACGGCGAUCUUCCGGUCCACGGCUCCUGAAAAAAAUACAUGUCCUAUUCUUGUCCGCAAUUGCGGACAAGAAUAGGCAUUUCUAUGGGGGUGCCGGCCAGGUGUAUUGCGGAUCCGCAAUACACUACGGACGUGUGAAUGGACCCUAAGG